GACGAACGCUGGCGGCGUGCCUAAUACAUGCAAGUCGAACGCUUCUUUUUCCACCGGAGCUUGCUCCACCGGAAAAAGAGGAGUGGCGAACGGGUGAGUAACACGUGGGUAACCUGCCCAUCAGAAGGGGAUAACACUUGGAAACAGGUGCUAAUACCGUAUAACAAUCGAAACCGCAUGGUUUUGAUUUGAAAGGCGCUUUCGGGUGUCGCUGAUGGAUGGACCCGCGGUGCAUUAGCUAGUUGGUGAGGUAANGGCUCACCAAGGCGACGAUGCAUAGCCGACCUGAGAGGGUGAUCGGCCACAUUGGGACUGAGACACGGCCCAAACUCCUACGGGAGGCAGCAGUAGGGAAUCUUCGGCAAUGGACGAAAGUCUGACCGAGCAACGCCGCGUGAGUGAAGAAGGUUUUCGGAUCGUAAAACUCUGUUGUUAGAGAAGAACAAGGAUGAGAGUAACUGUUCAUCCCUUGACGGUAUCUAACCAGAAAGCCACGGCUAACUACGUGCCAGCAGCCGCGGUAAUACGUAGGUGGCAAGCGUUGUCCGGAUUUAUUGGGCGUAAAGCGAGCGCAGGCGGUUUCUUAAGUCUGAUGUGAAAGCCCCCGGCUCAACCGGGGAGGGUCAUUGGAAACUGGGAGACUUGAGUGCAGAAGAGGAGAGUGGAAUUCCAUGUGUAGCGGUGAAAUGCGUAGAUAUAUGGAGGAACACCAGUGGCGAAGGCGGCUCUCUGGUCUGUAACUGACGCUGAGGCUCGAAAGCGUGGGGAGCAAACAGGAUUAGAUACCCUGGUAGUCCACGCCGUAAACGAUGAGUGCUAAGUGUUGGAGGGUUUCCGCCCUUCAGUGCUGCAGCUAACGCAUUAAGCACUCCGCCUGGGGAGUACGACCGCAAGGUUGAAACUCAAAGGAAUUGACGGGGGCCCGCACAAGCGGUGGAGCAUGUGGUUUAAUUCGAAGCAACGCGAAGAACCUUACCAGGUCUUGACAUCCUUUGACCACUCUAGAGAUAGAGCUUCCCCUUCGGGGGCAAAGUGACAGGUGGUGCAUGGUUGUCGUCAGCUCGUGUCGUGAGAUGUUGGGUUAAGUCCCGCAACGAGCGCAACCCUUAUUGUUAGUUGCCAUCAUUUAGUUGGGCACUCUAGCAAGACUGCCGGUGACAAACCGGAGGAAGGUGGGGAUGACGUCAAAUCAUCAUGCCCCUUAUGACCUGGGCUACACACGUGCUACAAUGGGAAGUACAACGAGUCGCAAAGUCGCGAGGCUAAGCUAAUCUCUUAAAGCUUCUCUCAGUUCGGAUUGUAGGCUGCAACUCGCCUACAUGAAGCCGGAAUCGCUAGUAAUCGCGGAUCAGCACGCCGCGGUGAAUACGUUCCCGGGCCUUGUACACACCGCCCGUCACACCACGAGAGUUUGUAACACCCGAAGUCGGUGAGGUAACCUUUUGGAGCCAGCCGCCUAAGGUGGGAUAGAUGAUUGGGGUGAAG
rnacentral:rRNA from 1 species